rnacentral:rRNA from 1 species
GGCGAAAGCCUGACGCAGCCACGCCGCGUGAGUGAUGAAGGCCUUCGGGUCGUAAAACUCUGUCGGGAGGGACGAAGGGGUCAACCCUGACGGUACCUCGCAAGAAAGCACCGGCUAACUCUGUGCCAGCAGCCGCGGUAAUACAGAGGGUGCAAAGCGUUGACUCGGAUUAUUGGGCGUAAAGCGCACGCAGACGGUAUGGAAGGUCGGACGUGAAAUCCCUGGGCUCAACCUAGGAACUGCGUUCGAAACCACCAAAACUAGAGUUCGGAAGAGGGAGGCGGAAUUCCUGGUGUAGAGGUGAAAUUCGUAGAUAUCAGGAGGAACACCAGCGGCGAAGGCGGCUUCCUGGUCCGAUACUGACGUUCAGGUGCGAAAGCGUGGGUAGCAAACAGGAUUAGAUACCCUGGUAGUCCACGCUGUAAACGAUGAGUGCUAGAUGUUGGGGGUAUUCACUCCCUCGGUAUCGAAGCUAACGCGCUAAGCACUCCGCCUGGGGAGUACGGCCGCAAGGUGAAACUCAAAGGAAUUGACGGGGU